GGGGUCAUGGGGAAGCCUGGUAUCCUUCGAGGUUUGGGACUUCGCGUCCCCGGUUCAAAUCCGGGUGGCCCCA
rnacentral:tRNA from 1 species